GGGGUUAAUUUAAUAAAUAAUAAAUAUGAAAAAAAAUUUUAAUAUAAUAUAUUUAAUGGGGGUUAAAGUAUUUUUAUAGAAAAAAUUUUAAAAUUUAUAGUGAAAUAGUAUUGUGAAAGAAAUAUUGAAAAUAUUGAAAUAAAAAUUUAUUAAAAAGUAAAUUUUGUUUAUUGUAUCUUGUGUAUCAGAGUUUUUUUAAAAAAAAAAUUGGGUAAAUUUAUUUCGAAAUUUAAAGAGUUAAUUAAUUAAAAAAGUUAAUAUUGCAUAAUUAUUUUGAAUAAUUAAUUGGAAAUGAAAAGUUAAUCGUUUUGAAUGAUAUCUAAUUUUUUUAGAAAAAAGUUUAAUUUUAAAUAAAUUUUAAAAAUAAUUAAUUAAUUAAUUAAUUUUAAAAUUUAAUUUUAUAUUUUAGGGGAUAAGCUUUAAAUUAGAAUUUUAUAAUAAAAGUAAAAAAAAAUUGAAAUUUUUAAAAUUUAUAUUUUUUAUAAAUUAUAGUUUAUUAUCAAUAAUUUCAUUUAAUUAAAAUUUUAUUUUAAUUUAAAUUUUUAUAAAAAAAUAUUUUUUAAUUUAAUAAAAAUAGAUAUAAUGAUAAAAUUAGUAUAUAAUUUAUAAAUAAAAUAAAAAUUAUUUAAAUUAAUAAAAAGGAAUUCGGCAAAAAU
rnacentral:rRNA from 1 species